UUAUUUUUAUUAUUGUUUUUUGUAAUUUAAUUAAAAUAUUAUAGAUUUUAUUAUAGAAAUUGAACAAAUAUAUUUUAUUAUAGUGUAUUAGUAUUGUGAAAGAAAUUAAUUAUAUAUUAAAAAGAAAAAUUUAUUAUUUGUACCUUGUGUAUCAGGGUUGAUUAAAAAUUAAGCUUAUAUUUGCUAUUCUCGAAUCUAAAAGAGCUAAUAUAUUAUAUUUUUUACUGUAGAAUAAGUAUUAUACAUAAUAUAUUAGAAAUGAAACGUUAUUCGUUUUUAGAUAUAUCUAGUUUUUAAAGAAAAAAAUUUAAUUUGUUAAUUUUAUAUUAAUAUUUUAUAUUAUUAAGAUAUUUAUUAAAAUUAGUUAUAUUUUAAGGGAUAAGCUUUAAAAUAAAGUUUUAUAAAAAUUAUAUUUAUUUAUUAAUUGUAGGAUUAGAAUUUUUUAUCAUUAAAAAAAUGUUAUAAUUUAUUAUAGUUGAUUUAUUAUUUAUAUUAUUUUUAAUUUUUUUAUUUAAAUAUAGUUUUUAAUUAAAAAUAAUUAGAAAUUAUGAUUAAAUUAGUAUAAAAUUUUUUAAUAGUAAUUUAAUUUAUUAAGGUUUUUAAAAGGAAUUCGGCAAAUAUUUUUUUACCUGUUUAUUAAAAACAUGUCCUUUUGAUUUUUAUAUAAGGUCUAACCUGCCCAAUGAUUUUUAUUAAAUGGCCGCGGUAUCCUGACCGUGCAAAGGUAGCAUAAUCAUUAGUUUUUUAAUUGAAAGCUGGAAUGAAAGGUUGAAUAAGAGAAAUACUGUCUCUUAAAAAUUUUUAUUAGAAUUUUAUUUUUAAGUUAAAAAGCUUAAAUUUAAUUUAAAGACGAGAAGACCCUUUAGAGUUUUAUUUAAUAUUAUUAAUUUUUUUCUUUAGUAUUUACAUAUUUAAUUUAGUAAUUUAAAUUUGGUUGGGGUGAUUGAAAAAUUUAAUAAACUUUUUUUUUAUUUUUACAUUGAUAAAUGAAUUAAUGAUCCAAUAUUUUUGAUUAUAAGAAUAAAUUACCUAAGGGAUAACAGCGUUAUUUUUUUUGAGAGUUCUUAUCGAAAAAAAAGAUUGCGACCUCGAUGUUGGAUUAAAGUUAAAAUAUGGUGCAGAAGCUAUAUAUUUAGGUCUGUUCGACCUUUAAUACUUUACAUGAUCUGAGUUUAAACCGGUGUAAGCCAGGUUGGUUUCUAUCUUAAAUUUACUAUAAUAUUUUAGUACGAAAGGAUCAAGUAUUGAAUUAAUAAUUUUUAUAUUGAAUAUUAUU
rnacentral:rRNA from 1 species